UACGUAGGGGGCAAGCGUUGUCCGGAAUCAUUGGGCGUAAAGCGCGUGUAGGCUGCCCGAUAAGUCCGCCGUGAAAGUCCAGGGCUCAACCCUGGGAUGCCGGUGGAAACUGUCGGGCUAGAGUCCGGAAGAGGCGAGUGGAAUUCCUGGUGUAGCGGUGAAAUGCGCAGAUAUCAGGAGGAACACCAAUGGCGAAGGCAGCUCGCUGGGACGGUUACUGACGCUGAGACGCGAAAGCGUGGGGAGCAAACAGG
rnacentral:rRNA from 1 species